GACGUCGAUAUUCGACGUCAUAAACACAAUCAACUUAGGUGUUUAUCAUGUCGAUAUUCGACGUCAUAAACACGAUUAAUUUUGGUGUUUAUGACGUCGAUAUUCGACGUCAUAAACCCAUUCAGCUUUGGUGCGUCGAUAUUCGACGUCAUAAACACGAUCAACUUUGGUGUGUAUGACGUCGAUAUUCCACGUGAUAAACACAAUCAACUUUGGUGUUUAUGACGUCGAUAUUCGACGUG
rnacentral:miRNA from 1 species